UGUGCAAGUUGUUAAGUGCGAUCGGUGGAUGCCUUGGCACCAAGAGCCGAUGAAGGACGUUGUAACCUGCGAUAAGCCCUGGGGAGUUGGUAAACGAGCUGUGAUCCGGGGGUGUCCGAAUGGGGAAACCUGGAAUGUCCGGAGUAGUGUCCGGUGACCCUGCACUGAAUGUAUAGGGGUGUGGGAGGUAACGCGGGGAAGUGAAACAUCUUAGUACCCGUAGGAAGAGAAAACAACCGUGAUUCCGUGAGUAGUGGCGAGCGAAAGUGGAUGAGGCUAAACCGUGUGUGUGUUCAAGCCGGCAGGUGUUGCAUGUGCGGGGUUGUGGGGGCCUUUGGGUUCUGCUGCCGCAGGAUUGGCCAGUGAUAAAUGUUGCGUGAAGGUGAAGCGUCUGGGAAGGCGUACCGGAGUGGGUGAGAGUCCCGUAACUGUAAGCG
rnacentral:rRNA from 1 species